rfam:Salmo salar isolate Sally breed double haploid chromosome ssa18, whole genome shotgun sequence.
UGGCUCAGUUGGUAGGGCAUGGUGUUUGCAACGCCAGGGUUGUGGGUUCGAUUCCCAC